UACGGAGGGAGCUAGCGUUGUUCGGAAUUACUGGGCGUAAAGCGCACGUAGGCGGCUUUGUAAGUUAGAGGUGAAAGCCCGGGGCUCAACCCCGGAAUUGCCUUUAAGACUGCAUCGCUUGAAUCCGGGAGAGGUGAGUGGAAUUCCGAGUGUAGAGGUGAAAUUCGUAGAUAUCGGGAAGAACACCCGUGGCGAAGGCGGUUCUCUGGGACGGUACUGACGCUGAGACGCGAAAGCGUGGGGAGCGAACAGG
rnacentral:rRNA from 1 species